rnacentral:lncRNA from 1 species
CCUGUUCAAAUCGCGUUCUCCUCUCCCGUUAACACUUCUCUGGGAAUUGAUGGUUUCCCUUCCCCCGUGUGGCCCAGGUGGGAGGGCAGAGGCGUCUCUGACGGACAAGCCUUGACCCCGGAAGCUUCAGGAACCUACAUUCUGUUGUCUGGGAGCCUCUUGGGUUUGAUUGCAAUCCAAAGGUCCAAUUCUCCUGCCAGGGCAAUACUCAGUCGGAGAGGUCGACCUUGUCCCGCUGGAAGUGUAUGUGAAACUGGCCCAGAAUACCUGAUGGUCUCCCACUCAAAUAAAAGAUCAACUCUGCAGGCUGACCCUCUGCUUACUCGGACGGGAUCCUUAGGCACGACAACGUUGAGAUGUCUGGUCCUGAGCCUCCUUGUCCUCCAUCCCAGGAAGCACGAGAUAACGGACAGGAACGAUAUCCGGGGUCAAAGAUCAGCAGGGAGGCAGAGCUGUGAUGGUUGGUGCUCCAGAGAUUUCGGAUAUCAAAGGCUCCACUCCACUCCACGGUGUUUCUCUGCAAGCAACAUCCAGUAAUUCCCUCGCGUCUAUCCCUGGGGUGUCGGCCUAGAAAUGUUUCAACGAUUCUUGUUUACUCCGUGGGGGUGUCACUCUUCCAUGGUAGUUUGAGUUGAGCAUAUAAAUCCGUUUCCAGACAAGCAGCCCUUGGCAUGUUUAUCGUGGUCAGAAAUCUAUUCAUGUAAUUAUUGUAUAUAUUAUUUACACAUUAUUAAAAUGAUGACUUUGGGGGCUACAGUUUUACAUUUCUCUGGGUAGAAUAGACCAUCAGAAGGAGGAAAUCAGGGGCCUGUUUCUAGAAACCCUUUGAAAUGUAGCCAAGGAUUUUUUUCCCUACCUCUUCGGUGACUCAUUUUAACCAUUUGCAAAAUAGGAAAGAUAGGAAAAGGAAAGGGAUAGAUGUUGUGAAAUCUAAGAGAUCACGGUUUAGGGAUAAAUAAAAAAUAUCUGAAAUGCAGGAUAAAAAGAAGCCAUAUUCAGAGCUCAGCUGGAGAAGCUGUCCUGCAUAUAGGCAAUUCACGUUUAUCAUCAGAGAGAGGAAGUGGUUUACAAACUUUACAAAGAAACUUUAAAGAGAAAACAGUCUUCCAGUCUGGGCCUUUCCAUCGCUCCUGGUUUCUGCUGGGAGCUGAAGUGUAAAUGCCAAAAUCACACAACAGGCAUUCACAGCUCCCUCUUGAUCAGCACAGGAAAUAGCUGUGAAAGAAUUCGUUCUCACGAAAUUUUAGUUGGCUAUUGCAGAAUCACAUCUCCUGGGUGUACGUACCCUCCUCCCCCACCCCGGUUCCUUUGGUUCAUAGAGUGAGGAUCGUCGCCUUAGUGUCUGUAGGAAUUUAAAGCCCCCCCAACCCAUCCCGAGUGAUGACUGGUGAUGACUGGGUUCAGAGAAUUUGUCUUUGGUGUUUAUGCAAAAUAAAUUUCUUUCAUCGGCCUUAGAGAUGAAAUUUGGUGGUUCUCUAUUUGGAUGCAGGUUUUGACUCUUUCCUCAAUAAUUCCCAUAAUAAUAAUCAUUGCAUUUAUUGAGCGUUUACUACGUGCCAAGCCCCGCAUUAAGCCCUGGGAUAGAUAGAAGAUAAUCAGAUUCAACCCAGUCCCUGUCCCACAAGGAGCUCGAGGUCAAAAGGGG